rnacentral:rRNA from 1 species
UGGGGAAUUGUUCACAAUGGGCGCAAGCCUGAUGACGCAACGCCGCGUGGGGGAUGAAGGUCUUCGGAUCGUAAACCCCUGUCGAAUGGGACGAAAGACUCGCGAGUGAAUACUUCGCGAGAGUGACGGUACCGUUAAAGGAAGCCACGGCUAACUCUGUGCCAGCAGCCGCGGUAAUACAGAGGUGGCAAGCGUUGUUCGGAAUUACUGGGCGUAAAGGGCGCGUAGGCGGCCCUCUAAGUCAGACGUGAAAUCCCCCGGCUUAACCUGGGAACUGCGUCUGAUACUGGAGGGCUUGAGUAUGGGAGAGGGAUGUAGAAUUCCAGGUGUAGCGGUGAAAUGCGUAGAUAUCUGGAGGAAUACCGGUGGCGAAGGCGGCAUCCUGGACCAUUACUGACGCUGAGGUGCGAAAGCGUGGGGAGCAAACAGGAUUAGAUACCCCCGUAGUCCCUGAGCGGGCUGGCAAGGCGCAU